rnacentral:rRNA from 1 species
GAUGAACGCUAGCGGCAGGCCUAAUACAUGCAAGUCGAGCGGUGUCUUCGGACAUAGUGGCGCACGGGUGCGUAACACGUAUGCAACCUACCUUACAUUGGGGGAUAGCCUUUCGAAAGGGAGAUUAAUACCGCAUAAGACAGUAGCUGGGCAUCCAGCAGCUGUUAAAGAUUUAUCGAUGUAAGCUGGGCAUGCGUCCAAUUAGCUAGUUGGUGAGGUAACGGCUCACCAAGGCAAUGAUUGGUAGGGGAGCUGAGAGGUCAAUCCCCCACACUGGCACUGAGAUACGGGCCAGACUCCUACGGGAGGCAGCAGUAGGGAAUAUUGGGCAAUGGACGCAAGUCUGACCCAGCCAUGCCGCGUGCAGGAUGAAGGCGUUAUGCGUUGUAAACUGCUUUUAUACAGGAAGAAACGACUCUUGCGAGAGGCAUUGACGGUACUGUAUGAAUAAGCACCGGCUAACUCCGUGCCAGCAGCCGCGGUAACAC